UAGUAACGGCGAGUGAAGAGGGAUUAGCCCAGCACCGAAUUCUGCAGUCUUGCGCUGUUAGAAACUGUGGUGUUUAGGUCUGUUUCUGUGCCUUGUGCCCCAUCCUAAGUCCACUUGAUUGUGGCUCCUUAGCCCAUAGACGGUGUUAGGCCGGUAUGGUUGGGUGCGCUUGGUAUCUGAGCUGACCUUAGAGUCGGGUUGUUUGAGAAUGCAGCCCAAAGAGGGUGGUAUACUCCAUCCAAGGCUAAAUACUUGCACAAGUCCGAUAGCAAACAAGUACCGUGAGGGAAAGUUGAAAAGAACUUUGAAGAGAGAGUUCAAUAGUGCGUGAAGCCGCAUAAAGGUAAACGGGUAGAGCUGAAAUUGAUGGUGGGAACUCAGCUAGAUGAGAUGCUGGUGUGUUGGGCUGUAGAUUCACUCUGUGGACUGCAGUUCGCGUGUCCUGGUCUCUAUUUAGUGCACUUUCCCAUUGUCAGCACCACGACCAGUGGUAAUGUUGGUCUGUUGUUGGGUAGUGGUAGCGCAUCUUCGGGUGCGUGAUAACUCCUGACUCGGAGCUAGCAGGGCACUGGAGACGGCGAUGCAAGCACCUAGUGCACACAUGUUUCAUUGCGGUGAUUCUGCUGGUUAGAUUGCAACUCCCCAGGAGUUCUUUCCGAUUGGUGGCGCCGUUGAUGGGGCCUCUGUGAUUUGUGUCAACAGUCAGUGGUGUGGAUGUAGGUAGUCUACCCGACCCGUCUUGAAACACGGACCAAGAAGUCCGACAUGUACGCAAGUCAUUGGGCGUUACGAAACCCAUCGGCGAAAUGAAAGUAAAGGCUUGCAAUUGCGUAAGCUUAGGUGUGAUCCAGGUUCUACCUAGUAGACCCGGCGCAACACCGGCCCGUCCCAUGGUCUUUUGAUCGGGGCGGAGCUAGAGCGUACAUGUCGGGACCCGAAAGAUGGUGAACUAUGCUUGGGCAGGUCGAAGCCAGAGGAAACUCUGGUGGAGGACCGUAACGAUUCUGACGUGCAAAUCGAUCGUCAGACCUGAGUAUAGGGGCGAAAGACUAAUCGAACCAUCUAGUAGCUGGUUCCCUCCGAAGUUUCCCUCAGGAUAGCUGGCACUCGUGAGAGUUCUCAGUUCUACCCGGUAAAGCGAAUGAUUAGAGGUACCGGUGUCGAAAUGAUGUCGACCUAUUCUCAAACUUUAAAUGGGUAGGAGGUUCGACUCUCUUAGCUGGAGUUGGACUUUGAAUGAGAGUUGCCAAGUGGGCCAUUUUUGGUAAGCAGAACUGGCGCUGUGGGAUGAACCAAACGUCUGGUUAAGGUGCCUAACACAACGCUCAUGAGAUACCACAAAAGGUGUUGGUUGAUCCAGACAGCAGGACGGUGGCCAUGGAAGUUGGAAUCCGCUAAGGAGUGUGUAACAACUCACCUGCCGAAUCAACCAGCCCUGAAAAUGGAUGGCGCUGGAGCGUUGGACCUAUACCGGACCGUUACAGCAAAAAUUUGAGUGCAUGCUGUGACGAGUAGGAGGGCCGCCGUGGUGAGCGUUGAAGCUAUGGCCGUGAGGUCAGGUGGA
rnacentral:rRNA from 1 species